GGGGGGGGGGGGGGGGGGGGCGGCACCCGGUCCGCAGCCCCGCGCUGCCCUGUCGUGGAAACGCUCUUUCCCGUUUGUUUCUGGAAAACCAAGGCCCAGGACAAUCCUCACAAGGAAGAAAAACAACCACACAGACAAGACCAUUUGACACCAAAAGCCUGCUUCUGAUUUAAGUCACUUCCUUUCCGCGAGCCUGUCAAAGCUCAACCGCAUCCCAUCAGUUUUGGGUCUACCUUCAGGAUUGCCAGCCCCAGGGUGCUCCAGAUCUUUCGCGUUGCCCAGCUGCAGACAGCACAUACCAGCCCCAACUCUGACUCUCCAGUCGGGGCCUUCGUUCAUUUAUUCCAGCAACCCCAAUGGGACAUUGCGUGACGGCAGCUUCAGGGAUGCCUUAGCUAAAGCACGUGGAUCUUACUGACAUUCUUGAAGAUGGAAAAGGUUUUGUAGGAAGAAAAUCAUUAAAAAAUAAAAACCCUGCAAAUAGUUAAAGUUCGGUAAAUGUUUUUGCAGUUUGUUCUGGCGCACUGUAGGCAGUUCAUUUUAAAAUCAAUCAAAUAGAACUAUAAUCAUUCUUUAAGAGAUGAUUGACGGAAUCAAAAUACGAAGGGAAGCAGGACGCCGUGGUGACUCGGGCUGUAAAGUAUGCGGGUCUUAAUCUAGGGCCGAGAAUCCAAGUCCCGCUUACAGUUCAGGCCAUAUUGGUCUAUACCCUGGGUGGGGGGCCUACUUACUUUAAAAAAAAAAAAUUGAUGGAGAAAAGCUACAGCGUUCAUGGAAUAUGCUGAGCCCAUACGUUUGAAGUGUUUUGUGCAAGUUUCAAGCCAUUGUGCGUUAAGGAGGGAGACGAUCUCCAGCAGGAAAGGAAAGCUGAUCAGGCUCAUGGAACGUUGUCAAUCGCAGGCGACAGUGGAAGGAAACAGAGCUCAGUAAAUUGCAAAAGGCAUGUGUUUGGGUCAGAAGACCAGCUGGCGUCUGGGUGCGACGGUUAUUAGCUGUGCGGCCCGUGGGGGCCUCAGCUCCACCUGUUUUACAAGAGCCUGGAGGUAAGAGAUGCCCGGCCUUGCUUCUCCUGGGGGAGUCACUCACUCGGCAUCACCUCUGGGGCCCAGGACCGUCCCCUUGGACCCUUCCAGAUGGUUCUUUCCCCAGACUUGAUGAUGUCCCCACUUGCACAGAGUCCUCCCCGGAGCUCCCUCCCCGCAGCUGCCCCCUGCCUGGUGCUCCCGGGAGGGCUCCGGCGUGUCCGGCCCACCCCACGGGCACCUGCCUGGGGAGGCCCCUCCGGUCCCCAGGCCUGAGCUGGCCACUUGCAGGGCCGUUGCCGCCGUGCCUGCCUCUCGGGAAUGUCACCUUCAAGGCCUGGCGUUCAGCACCUUGAAACUGUUGUCUUACCUGUUUGGUACAGUUUUCUGAUUUCUGUUGUUUCAAGGAGUAAAAUAAACCUGGUUCCUGAUACUCCA